rnacentral:rRNA from 1 species
UCCGGGGAUAACAGGCUGAUACCGCCCAAGAGUUCAUAUCGACGGCGGUGUUUGGCACCUCGAUGUCGGCUCAUCACAUCCUGGGGCUGAAGUAGGUCCCAAGGGUAUGGCUGUUCGCCAUUUAAAGUGGUACGCGAGCUGGGUUUAGAACGUCGUGAGACAGUUCGGUCCCUAUCUGCCGUGGGCGCUGGAGAAUUGAGGGGGGCUGCUCCUAGUACGAGAGGACCGGAGUGGACGCAUCACUGGUGUUCGGGUUGUCAUGCCAAUGGCACUGCCCGGUAGCUAAAUGCGGAAGAGAUAAGUGCUGAAAGCAUCUAAGCACGAAACUUGCCCCGAGAUGAGUUCUCCCUGACUCCUUGAGAGUCCUGAAGGAACGUUGAAGACGACGACGUUGAUAGGCCGGGUGUGUAAGCGCAGCGAUGCGUUGAGCUAACCGGUACUAAUGAACCGUGAGGCUUAACCUUACAACGCCGAAGGUGUUU